UUCAUCGUUGGAGAAGAGUCUCCUGUAGGUCGUCUUCCCCCCUGUACGAAUGUCUCCAACGCCACAUGAUUCUCCCCCCUUCCUGGAUGCUCGCCACGACGCCUUUUCCUCCCCUUAAAACGUCCAGUGCCGCUCCAGGAACCCUAGCUACCGUUCCUCCUCUCCAAGCCGCCGCCCCCUCCAACCUUCUGUACGUGAGAGAGGUUUUCUGCCCCGAGGUCGCCGGAACGCCGCCGUCGCCAUGGACCGCCGCACGCCUAGCUGAGCAGCAGAAAAGAGAACCGCCGUGGUCUCCUCUUCGUCCUCGUCUACUUCACGGUGUAGGAGCCGCCAAGUUCUGCCCGCAAACGAACCGGUUGUCGCGUCUUCUUCCCGGUGUCCGUCGCCGUCGCCUUGUCUCCGUCCGUCCCCGAGCCGCCUCGUCUCUUCCGGCAGCCUUCCGACGCCGACGCAGAGCAGUACGAGUUCCCCCUGGAGGAUCGUGUCGGUGCUUCUACCUCUGAUCUGACAGGCGAGCCCACCCCUUCACCUAUUUUACUUUUACAUGCUCUUUUGAUCUAUUGCUAUCCUUAUGUUGCGAUUCUGUUGUGUCACGUGUCC